rnacentral:rRNA from 1 species
AACGAACGCUGGCGGCAGGCUUAACACAUGCAAGUCGAACGAAGCCUUCGGGCUUAGUGGCGGACGGGUGAGUAACACGUGGGAACGUACCUUUUGGUUCGGAAUAACGCAGAGAAAUUUGCGCUAAUACCGGAUGAGCCCUUCGGGGGAAAGAUUUAUCGCCGAAAGAUCGGCCCGCGUUGGAUUAGGUAGUUGGUGUGGUAAAGGCGCACCAAGCCUACGAUCCAUAGCUGGUCUGAGAGGAUGAUCAGCCACACUGGGACUGAGACACGACCCAGACUCCUACGGGAGGCAGCAGUGGGGAAUCUUGCGCAAUGGGCGAAAGCCUGACGCAGCCAUGCCGCGUGAAUGAUGAAGGUCUUAGGAUUGUAAAAUUCUUUUACCAGGGACGAUAAUGACGGUACCUGGAGAAAAAGCCCCGGCUAACUUCGUGCCAGCCGCCGCAGUAACAC